rfam:Schistosoma margrebowiei strain Zambia genome assembly, scaffold: SMRZ_scaffold0001222
GCACUGCUGAGGAGUCUUACAAUAAGACAAAACGGCCGUCCAGUAU